AGACCGCUAGUAACUUGAGCGACAACCAUCUCAUCACGACUUAUCUCCUUCAUAAAUAUAAAUUUAAGGAAGUGUUCAUGAUUCCUACAUCUGGAUGGAUAGUAAUUUGCGUCGACACUUCCUCGAACAACAGUUUGGCCACUCAUACCUGCUUGGAGACUCAGGGUAUCCUCUGGAAACUUGCCUCAUGACACCUUUGGCAGAGCCAAAAACAUCAGCAGAGAGACGCUAUAAUAGCAGCCAUGCUUGCACAAGAGCAGUUAUUGAACAAUGCUUUGGGGUGCUCAAGA
rnacentral:lncRNA from 1 species